ACACGGCUGGCUCAGUGGGAAGAGCAUGGGACUGUUGAUCUCAGGGUUGUGAGUUUGAGUCCCACAUUGGGUG
rnacentral:tRNA from 1 species